rnacentral:rRNA from 1 species
GAUGAACGCUAGCUAUAGGCUUAACACAUGCAAGUCGAGGGGAAACGGCAUUAUGUGCUUGCACAUUUUGGACGUCGACCGGCGCACGGGUGAGUAUCGCGUAUCCAACCUGCCCUUUACUUGGGGAUACCCCGUUGAAAGACGGCCUAAUACCCGAUGUAAUUCAUUGAUGGCAUCAGAUAUGAAUAAAAGAUUUAUCGGUAAAGGAUGGGGAUGCGUCUGAUUAGCUUGUUGGUGAGGUAACGGCUCACCAAGGCAACGAUCAGUAGGGGUUCUGAGAGGAAGGUCCCCCACAUUGGAACUGAGACACGGUCCAAGCUCCUACGGGAGGCAGCAGUGAGGAAUAUUGGUCAAUGGGCGCAAGCCUGAACCAGCCAAGUAGCGUGCAGGAAGACGGCCCUAUGGGUUGUAAACUGCUUUUAUACGAGAAUAAUUUGAUGCACGUGUGCGUUAUUGCAUGUAUCGUAUGAAUAAGGACCGGCUAAUUCCGUGCCAGCAGCCGCGGUAAUACGGAAGGUCCAGGCGUUAUCCGGAUUUAUUGGGUUUAAAGGGAGUGUAGGCGGUUUGUUAAGCGUGUUGUGAAAUUUAGAUGCUCAACAUUUAACUUGCAGCGCGAACUGUCAGACUUGAGUACACGCAACGUAUGCGGAAUUCAUGGUGUAGCGGUGAAAUGCUUAGAUAUCAUGAAGAACUCCGAUUGCGAAGGCAGCAUACGGGAGUGUAACUGACGCUUAAGCUCGAAGGUGCGGGUAUCGAGCAGG